ACGAACGCUGGCGGCGUGCUUAACCCAUGCAAGUCGCACGGAAAGGCCCUGCUUUUGUGGGGUGCUCGAGUGGCGAACGGGUGAGUAACACGUGAGUAACCUGCCCUUGACUUUGGGAUAACUUCAGGAAACUGGGGCUAAUACCGGAUAGGAGCUCCUGCUGCAUGGUGGGGGUUGGAAAGUUUCGGCGGAUGGGGAUGGACUCGCGGCUUAUCAGCUUGUUGGUGGGGUAGUGGCUUACCAAGGCUUUGACGGGUAGCCGGCCUGAGAGGGUGACCGGCCACAUUGGGACUGAGAUACGGCCCAGACUCCUACGGGAGGCAGCAGUGGGGAAUAUUGCACAAUGGGCGGAAGCCUGAUGCAGCAACGCCGCGUGCGGGAUGACGGCCUUCGGGUUGUAAACCGCUUUCGCCUGUGACGAAGCGUGAGUGACGGUAAUGGGUAAAGAAGCACCGGCUAACUACGUG
rnacentral:rRNA from 1 species